UUGAUUACUUCUUUAUAUUCAAAUAGCGAGGUAUUUUUGGUUUGAAAUUCUGAUAAUUUAUGUCGUAAAAACGAUUAUACCAUGACCUCUUCACACAAAAUUGACGAAAUGGGGCUUCAUUCAGGAUCAGUUUACUGCUGCUACUUACAUAAUUUUGUCUUUUAAAAAAUACGUAAGGAACGCAGAUGUAAUAUUUUCAAAAGCACCAGAGAAAUAUUAAUGAAUAUGUUAUGAAUAAUCUCAGAAAAAAAUAAAAACGAAUUGUCUAAAAUUCGCAUAUUUUUUCUGAUAAGCAUGAGUCUUAACGUGUGGUAAUAAGGGUUAUUUUAUUUUGUCAGUCUGAACGCUUGGCAUAGAAAUGUUUAUCGAUACAAUGCCAGUCCGCGCUCGGCCGCCGUCGUGAGUGGAUACUGUGUCGGUUGUAAGCAGCAGCUCGUGCUCGGAAAGAUCGCUGUACGAACAUAAAUACUUUUUAUUAGCUCCGCAAUACUGUCUUUGAUACUUUACGUAUUUUGUACGCAGUGGCAACUUGACAAGAUGCCAAAGCCGAAAACCUUUGGGAAAUGCUCUCGUAAAAGUCUGCGCGCAAAUAGACUUAACUUAAAAAAGAGAGCACAAACAAUGAAGAAACCGAACCGUUCCAAGUUUCAGGAAGAAGGGUCAUAGAAUUAGGCUAUUUUAUGAAACAGCUUCAAGAAAUCGAAAGCCAUAGUUCUAUGUUUAAUUGCAAUUUAAGCACUGUUGAACUUUUAAAGGAAAAAAGGACUGGGCUUAUCUCAACUUUUUAUUUGAAGUGCCAAAUGUGUGGCUCUAAAUUUGUAUUGAAAUCGUCUAAUUGUUUGGAAAACAAAAUGGAUGUGAAUGAGGAAAUUGUUGCAGGUAUAAUGAGUAUUGGUGCCGGAGUUACUCAGCUAAAUACAGUUCUUUGCUAUAUAAAUAUACCACCUAUGUCGAUACGAUUGUAUCAAACUAAACAUGACAUUUGUCAAUGGUGGAAAAAAACUGCCCAGCACUGUAUGGCUAAGGCUGGCGAGGAAGAAAAAAGACAUGCUCUUUGUAUUGGAAACAUUAAUGAUACCGGAAUACCAAUGAUCGCUGUAUUGGGUGAUGCUUGUUGGUCCAAACGUUCAUAUGGAUCUAACUACAGUCCGUCGUCUGGAGUUGGUGCAAUUGUCGGAGUUCAUUCAAAGAAAGUUCUCUACUACGGAGUGAAAAAUAAGAUGUGCAACAUCUGUUCACGAGCUAUUGCGAAAGGAACUAAAGCACCAAUACAUAAUUGCUUAAAAAAUUUUCAAGGUCCUUCUACUGCAAUGGAAGCAGGUAUUAUAACAGAAGGGUUCAAAAAAUCAAUUGAAAGUCAUGGACUCAUUUACAACCAGUACGUCGCAGAUGGUGAUUCCAGUACAUAUACUAGUAUUCGAAAUGCAAGGCCAUAUGAUAAUGUUACAGUAGGUAAAAUUGAAUGCAAGAAUCAUUUGCUUAGAAACUACUGCAAGGGCCUUCUUACGAUAGCAAAUAACACUACUUACCA